GCCGCACUUGGCUGCAAAUGGAUAGCGAGGGGACUCUCUCUCUCUCCUUUCACCUCCCCGGUCUCUCGCAAAUGCUCGCAUAGAAUCGGAGUUACAGCUGGAUGUGGAAAAAAUAACUGAGUUGUUUGGUGGUGGAGCUACAACAGAGGGCAGCUACCCACCGGUGUGUGACAGAAAGGACAUGCCGCCAACGAGACAUAUGAGGCCGGGCAGGCGAUUGCUAACGCGGUGGUCAAUCAUGGAUCAGGGAAAGCGAAGGCAGGAGCGUGAGGUGAACUGAAUUUCAGGUAAGAAGUUAUGAACUGCACUCUAUUUGGGUCAGAUAUAAACAGAGUUUAGGUGUAGUUUAUUUAGCAGCAGUUCUCUUAUGUGUUGCUGAUAGCCGGCUAGCUAGCUAGCGCCGCUAGCAACCCUUCGUGAAAAAGCACCCAGUCUUGGCUUAUAUUGAAGCGGGUGAAACUCGUGUCAGCACCCGGUCGCUCUCUAUUUGGGUCAGAUAUAAACCGAGUUUAGGUGUAGUUUAUUUAGCAGCAGUUCUCUUAUGUGUUGCUGAUAGCCGGCUAGCUAGCUAGCGCCGCUAGCAUAGUUAGCUCGCGCCGCUAGCAACCCUUCGUGAAAAAGCACCCAGUCUUGGCUUAUAUUGAAGCGGGUGAAACUCGUGUCAGCAACCGGUCGCUCUCUAUUUGGGUCAGAUAUAAACCGAGUUUAG
ensembl:lncRNA